ACCCCUGCUGGCCCAACGGAUAAGGCGCCACCCCCCUAAGGUGGAGAUUCCGAGUUCGAUCCUCGGGUAGGGUA
rnacentral:tRNA from 1 species